AACGAACGCUGGCGGCGUGCCUAACACAUGCAAGUCGUACGAGAAAUCCUGGGCAACUGGGAGAGUAAAGUGGCGCACGGGUGAGUACGCGCGGGUAACCUACCCUUGAAUUGGGGAUAACUCAUCGAAAGGGGAGUUAAUACCGAAUAAUAUUCCAGUUCCCACGGGCGUUGGAAUCAAAGGUGGCCUCUGCAUGCACGCUAUCGUCUAAGGAUGGGCCCGCGUGCCAUUAGCUAGUUGGUAGGGUAAUGGCCUACAAAGGCAACGAUGGUUAGCUGGUCUGAGAGGAUGGCCAGCCACACUGGAACUGCGACACGGUCCAGACUCCUACGGGAGGCAGCAGUGGGGAAUCUUGCGCAAUGGGGGAAACCUUGACGCAGCAACGCCGCGUGGGUGAUGAAGGCCUUCGGGUCGUAAAGCCCUGUCAGGUGGGAAGAAACUUGUGGAUGCUAAUAUCAUCCACACUUGACGGUACCACCGGAGGAAGCACCGGCUAACUCCGUGCCAGCAGCCGCGGUAACAC
rnacentral:rRNA from 1 species